CCAGCCAUCCCGCGUGUGCGAUGAAGGCCUUCGGGUUGUAAAGCACUUUUGGCAGGGAAGAAAAGGUUCUGGUUAAUACCCGGAGCUGCUGACGGUACCUGCAGAAUAAGCACCGGCUAACUACGUGCCAGCAGCCGCGGUAAUACGUAGGGUGCAAGCGUUAAUCGGAAUUACUGGGCGUAAAGCGUGCGCAGGCGGUUUGGCAAGAAGGAUGUGAAAUCCCAGGGCUUAACCUUGGAACUGCAUUCUUAACUGCCAGGCUAGAGUAUGUCAGAGGGGGGUAGAAUUCCGCGUGUAGCAGUGAAAUGCGUAGAGAUGCGGAGGAAUACCGAUGGCGAAGGCAGCCCCCUGGGAUAAUACUGACGCUCAUGCACGAAAGCGUGGGGAGCAAACAGGAUUAGAUACCCUGGUAGUCCACGCCCUAAACGAUGUCAACUAGCUGUUGGGGCCUUCGGGCCUUAGUAGCGCAGCUAACGCGU
rnacentral:rRNA from 1 species